rnacentral:rRNA from 1 species
AACGAACGCUGGCGGCAUGCCUAACACAUGCAAGUCGAACGAGAUCUUCGGGUCUAGUGGCGCACGGGUGCGUAACGCGUGGGAAUCUGCCCUCUGGUUCGGAAUAACAGUUGGAAACGACUGCUAAUACCGGAUGAUGACGAAAGUCCAAAGAUUUAUCGCCAGAGGAUGAGCCCGCGUAGGAUUAGCUAGUUGGUGUGGUAAAGGCGCACCAAGGCGACGAUCCUUAGCUGGUCUGAGAGGAUGAUCAGCCACACUGGGACUGAGACACGGCCCAGACUCCUACGGGAGGCAGCAGUGGGGAAUAUUGGACAAUGGGCGAAAGCCUGAUCCAGCAAUGCCGCGUGAGUGACGAAGGCCUUAGGGUUGUAAAGCUCUUUUACCCGGGAUGAUAAUGACAGUACCGGGAGAAUAAGCUCCGGCUAACUCCGUGCCAGCCGCCGCAGUAA